UGAAGCGGCAAAAGCUCAAAUUUGAAAUCUGCGCUCUUUCAGAGUCCGAGUUGUAAUUUGAAGAAGGUAUCUUUGGGUCUGGCUCUUGUCUAUGUUUCUUGGAACAGAACGUCACAGAGGGUGAGAAUCCCGUGCGAUGAGAUGAUCCAGGCCUAUGUAAAGUUCCUUCGAAGAGUCGAGUUGUUUGGGAAUGCAGCUCUAAGUGGGUGGUAAAUUCCAUCUAAAGCUAAAUAUUGGCGAGAGACCGAUAGCGAACAAGUACAGUGAUGGAAAGAUGAAAAGAACUUUGAAAAGAGAGUGAAAAAGUACGUGAAAUUGUUGAAAGGGAAGGGCUUGAGAUCAGACUUGGUAUUUUGUAUGUUACUUCUUCGGGGGUGGCCUCUACAGUUUAUCGGGCCAGCAUCAGUUUGGGCGGUAGGAGAAUUGCGUUGGAAUGUGGCACGGCUUCGGUUGUGUGUUAUAGCCUUCGUCGAUACUGCCAGCCUAGACUGAGGACUGCGGUUUAUACCUAGGAUGUUGGCAUAAUGAUCUUAAGUCGCCCGUCUUGAAACACGGACCAAGGAGUCUAACGUCUAUGCGAGUGUUUGGGUGUAAAACCCGUACGCGUAAUGAAAGUGAACGUAGGUGGGGGCCCGUAUGGGUGCACCAUCGACCGAUCCUGAUGUCUUCGGAUGGAUUUGAGUAAGAGCAUAGCUGUUGGGACCCGAAAGAUGGUGAACUAUGCCUGAAUAGGGUGAAGCCAGAGGAAACUCUGGUGGAGGCUCGUAGCGGUUCUGACGUGCAAAUCGAUCGUCGAAUUUGGGUAU
rnacentral:rRNA from 1 species